CUCUUUGCCGCAGUCCGGGGUCAUCCAGAGUCCCCGCACUGGCUUCGUGCGUCUGCCUUACAAGUUCCCACUGCAGAAGAAGCCUGCCGUGUGGUAUUUACAGCAGUCUCAUCCCGGGCGUUAGCUGACUGUAACGUUAAUUGCAGAUGGAAGAAGCUAGGAGGAAGUGACACUUCCCAUAAACCAUUAGAGUAGCUUGCGUUAAACACCCCAGGUUGCCAACAGCCUUGGGUUAAGCAGGGACACUGCUGGACCCCUUGGGUACAAAGUGCCAGGUUGAUUAAAAAUUAAAAAAAAAGAAAACCUGGUAGAAGAGCUAGAGAGAAUGAAAUGCAAGACGGUUCUGUGUAAAGGGAUGAAGAACAGGGCUCAGACGUUUCCAAAGGACUGGGCUGGGGCCGUUUCCCACCAGCUGUCUCCAACGACGUUCUUUAGGUCUGAAUUUAGCCUGUUAGCCUAUGAGCAAAAACCAUUUCCGCCUCUGGAUCCCGAAGCAUCCUGUCCCUUUAAAAGUGAUGCAGCAGUGAGAAAGAGUAAAGUAGCUGAGCCAGCACUUUCGCAGGUAGAAGCAGCAGUCUGCUCUUCCUUCUCGCUCCUACUGCAGUCAGUUCAGUUUCCCUUUCAGCGGCGUCCCUGGCUGCCAGCCCCCCUUCUUGACUCCCAACCGCUUGCCCAUCAGGUUUCACUGCUGCUUACAUUUGGUCCUUGUCCUGCCUAGUAAGAGAAACAAUGAGCCUGCUAUCUCCCUGACCUUAUCGCAUUUUUCCAGGCACUCACCCCACUCCAGAGGCUAACCUCUUCAAGAUUGCUUCGGAGUUACACCAUAACUACAGACUGCUAUACUCAGGUUCUAGAAUGGUUUACCAGUACUCCGAUCAUUACAAUAAGAUGGUGGUGGCUUCACUUUCUAGGCACACAUGGUAUAACUAACUGGCUUAAUAACACCUGCCUGGGUGACCGGCCUUAAGAAUAAAAGAAAACACACAUAAAGCAGGCACAGACAAUAGAUGUCCUCAUGAUACUCCUCAUAUAGCCCUGCAUGCGUUUCUGCACAUGAGGCAUUCAGUAAAUUCUAGUUAGUCCUAAACUCUCUAAGGCGCUCUCUCCUCCAACUGACAUAGUCCCUCUUGUCUGUCCUUUUCCUCCCUUACCUGUAUAUUCUAUCAGGUUUGGCAUUUCUGCUAUCACUGUCAUGCAUGGGUCCAGAUUGGAGUAAAAGCAGUCAAGGGAAGCAUGACAAGGAAUGACCAUCCCAAGAGCCCACAGAUCUGUUAUGUGGAAUCCAGCAUUGUACCUACUCUCACUGCAGCUCUGCACCCUGGCUUAGACACAUGCAUGUAAGCAUGGCCUGUAUGCUGUUAAGUUCUCCACACAUUCGAAGGGACCGCUUGUUCUCUUCACCUGGUCUUGUUUCUUUCAUUAAUUUGCAAGUCCUUUAUUUGCUUCGCACACGCAUGCACACGUGUGCGCGUACACACACACACACACACACACACACAGUCAGCACGGAAGCCUUCCAUUCCCUUCUAGUGACAGUGACUGCAUAAGCAGGCUACACCUUUCACUCUCUAUUUCCACCAUUCUCCCAUCCCCAACCUACAAGCCUGCAAUCUACUCUGUGGGGUGAAAGGCAGGUGGUUUGGGUUCCCAGACUGACCUCAUGGAACAGUUUGAACUUGGUAGGGCCGGAACACUGCAGCAAGCACUGCCUUGCUUCAGUGGGGCAGACACUCCAAGGGCUUCUGUGCUGUAGCCAUUUAAGUCUCAAACCUGACUUUGUGAGUGAAUACUAUUUUGUCACUUUUUUUUUGGUUUUGUUUUUUUUUUUUUUGAGACAGGGUUUUUUUCUGUAAAACAGCCCUAGCUAUUAUAGAACUUGAUUUGCAGACCAGGCUAGCCUCAAACUCACAAAGAUCUACCUUCCUCUGCUUCCCAGGAGCUAGGAUUAAACACAUGUGCCACCAUGCCCAGCUUUGCUUAAUUUUUUCUAAGGAGGAGAUUAUGGUUUAUGAAGAUUAAGUAACACAUCUCUCACCUCAUUGCUAAAAAUGGUAAAGCCAAGUUCAGACAUCUCGGAGCCCAUGGCACAAUAAUACUUUGUAUUAUAAGAGACAUACCCUUACUGGGCAUAAUGGUGCAUACCUAUAAUCCCAGCACUCAGGAGGCUGAGGCUACAGCAUUGCAAAAGCCAUCCUGUGCUAUAUCUCAAAAACAACCAAAAAUAAACCUGGUGAGUAUGUUUUAACAAAAUAAAUAUGCAUGUAUAAAUAAUGAGUAUAUGCACUUAACAACCUGCUAUUUUGAGUGUAUGUAACACACUUAGACAAAAUAUAAAGAAUCCAGUUGCAGACAGUGUGGUAACACUCACAUUUAAUCCCAGCAUCCAGGUGGCAGAGGCAGGAGGAUCUCUGUGGAUUCCUGGCCAUCCUGGCCUACAGAGAGAGUUCCAGGACAACCAGAGAUAUACAGAAAGACAAGGAGAAGGAGAAGGAGAAGGAGUUCCAACAGGAGGGAAAAGAUAAGGUAGAGAAGCCCCCAGAAACAACUUUAAGAAAAUAAAAAUGCAGGAACCAUUUGAAGAAAUGUUUUUAAACCUCCAUUUGGACACACAAAAAAAACUUGAGCCAAUAAAAAGACAUGUGGUAUUCCUAAGUAGAAAAAAAUCUCAAUUUUGAAAAAAUAUAAUCCUUCCUUGGUAAAAGUAAAACCUUACCAUGAUCACAACAAAAGUACCAACAAAUUGUUUUAUUAGCCACAUUGAUGCUAAAAAUUUUUGACAAAAAAAUGAGAUGUUAACUUAAGUAUUUCAAGUAUUUCUAAAUUACAGUAGAUAAAAUGCAGCAUUAUCAUACAAAUAACUGGAUAGAGCAGUAGCAGUCUAUAAAUUUCUUAAAAUCUGAGUACACAUUAGGAUGUAAUAUAAGACAAGUAAUGGGGAAAAUAAACUAGUUAGUAACUGGUCUAAAGAACUGAAGCGGCAACUGGGAGAAAGAGUUUUCCUUCACACCCGAAAUGAGGUUAGAGCUCAAACAGAGAAAAGCUUAAGUGUAAGUUUAAACUGUAACAAGUGCUAAAGGAAACAAUGGAGAAAUUCCUUUACACUCUGAGUGGUAAAAGCCUUUCUAGUUUGGAUUGCAGAAUUCAAAUGUCUGAUAAAAAAUGUUGAAAAACGUAACUACACACAAAACAUAGCUACACAGAAGGAAACCAAAUUCGGUAGUUAAAAGGUGAAGUAAAACAAACUGCAUGUCAAGUUGAAGGCUAACUUUCCUGUCUAUGAACAACCUGUAAAUGGUGAAGUAUGCAGCCUCUGCUGGGCACAAUGGCACAUGCCUAGAAUCCCAGCACUCUGGAGGUAGAGGUAGGGGGAUCAGGAGUUCAAGCCUGGACAUAGCCAGUUCAAGACCAACUGGCCAGAUGAGACCCUUUUUUAAAAGGUCAAACUAAUAAUAGUAGCAGCGAUGAUGGUGGUGGUGGUAACGUAACAAUAGCGGUGAUGGUCUGGUGUCUGGCCUGAUAUGUGAGUCUGGAAGUCAUCACUCCCAUUCACAGAGGAAAAUGAUGAACGGACUGAAAAUCAGGAAUUCAUCUUAAAUCCUCAGAGAAUUGAGGUCAUGAGACAAAGUGCUGGAGAGCCAGGCAGACAUGAAGUCACUGCUUCCAAAGCAGAAGAGAGGAGAAGCAGCCUAUACCUGGAGCCAAGGUGCAGGGAUUAUCUCAGGAGAGAACAAAAACAAAAUGUAAGCGCCGGAUUACAGAGGACUUUGAAAAACAGUGUGUUCCAGAUACGACAGUGUCAUUGCACAUGAACUCACUCCACUGCGGUUGACUGCACAAGACCUGCACAUGAUCAAGCCAGCAAAAGUGUCAGCACAAAUGGGGAAAGAUGCAUGAAGUGCCAUCCAUCUCUGAUGAGCUAUUGGAAGUUGAUGUCUACGAGUGGAAGGGAAAUCUAUUUUUCUUCAGGGAUGCAUCCCCUGACAGGUUGCCCAAGUUCCAGUGAAUGGCCUUACACCCUUAAACAUGCUGGAAGUGCUAAAAAGACUCAGUGUCUCGAUGAAAAAGUGCAAUGAGCUGGGAAGGAGAAAUGGUGGGAGAGUUGGAAGAGAAGGAGUAGAGGCUGGGUUUGAUCAAAACACGUGUAUGAGAUUCUCAACCAAUAAAUUAAAAUGCAGGAUACUGACCUAGA